AUACGGAGGGUGCAAGCGUUAUCCGGAAUCACUGGGUUUAAAGGGUGCGUAGGCGGCUCGGUAAGUCAGGGGUGAAAGUCUGCCGCUCAACGGUAGAAUUGCCUUUGAUACUGCCAGGCUUGAAUAAGCGCGAGGCAGGCGGAAUGUGGCUUGUAGCGGUGAAAUGCAUAGAUAUGCCAUAGAACACCAAUUGCGUAGGCAGCUUGCCAGGGCUUUAUUGACGCUGAGGCACGAAAGCGUGGGGAGCGAACAGGAUUAGAAACCCCAGUAGUCC
rnacentral:rRNA from 1 species